CUUGAUCGAGCCGAGGUGCAGAGGCUGGUCGUCGGGGCGGUCCUGCCCGUAGGUGGCGAGCAGUGCUUGGGCUUC
rnacentral:antisense_RNA from 1 species